AAGAAUAUCAAAAUAAAUAAUUUAGUUUAAAAUUUGGUCGCCGUUUACGGACUUUCCAGUUUACGGACUUAUUACAAAGGAAUAUUUUGCAAACGAUUUGGAAAUGGAUAAAAUUCAUUUAAAUGAUGGAUUAUCAGAUCCACUGGUUUUUAAAUUCAGGAUUAUCAGAUCCACCGGUUGGACCGUAUCAGGAAAGAGAUCUUUAUUAUAACAAAAGAAUAUUUUGCAAACGAUUUGCAAUAUAUUCUUGAUCAUAGAACAUUUGGAGAAGUCAUUGACUAAAAAGAAUGGAUAUGUAAUUUCAAUUCACGACAACAUGAGACCUACUAAUUUCGAGUAGACAUGAAAUUGACAUUAAAAAAUUUCAAGGUUACGCCUUAGCAACUGCAAGACACUACUUCAAAGAAUAUCCCUGGUAAAACAUGUCAACAUCAGUACAUAGAUUGCUGAUCCACGGACCAGAUAUUAUUUCUUCGGCCAUUUUACCCAUUGGUCAACUGUCCGAGGAUGCUCAAGAAUCAACCAAUAAGUUGAUAAAGCAAUAUCGUUUGGGUUUUUCUCGAACGUUUUCAAGAGUUAAGACUAUGGAAGACGUGUUCAGGAGAUUGUUGGCAACCACAGACCCCUACCUUUUAUCUCUGCGAAAAUCAACACCAAAAAAAUUGAAGACUUUGUUGCCAGAGACUGUUGCCUUCUUGGUUCCUGUAACAGAAGAUUGAAGAAACAGACUUUGAAUAUAAUGAAGAUUUCAACAAAGAGACAGAACAAGAUGAAAAAGAACCAAAAUGAUUGUAACUGAAA